CCCAUACUCACUGACAUGUGAGGAGCAAGGGGUUACUUAAGUGAAAUGUCCUGACCAGGCACUGCCAGCACACAAACACCCCCUAAGGCUGACAUCACCCAACCAAGAUAGCAGCUCAGGGACAGACCUCAUCAAAGGAUGGCCUCGGUCUCCAGCACCUCAGAUGACACUUCCAAGACUCUGACCCUCCACUCCAUUAUCUGUGAGGUCAUCAGCUGAGAAAUAUUCCUGACUUGGCCAAAGGGAUCCCACAGCAGACCUGCUCUGGCAUUGGGAAGAGCCUUCAAAUCAACUAUUAAGAUGUUCAGAGACCUGAAAAACAAAGCUUUCCUAUGCCUCUAGAAGAGGGUACAAAGGAUGCCUAGCGUUGCCAGAAAGAUCCUGCACAGUGUGGAUGUGGGUCUGCCAAGCUGGGGCAGAGGAGACAUAAGACACAAAUCUGGCCUGAAGAAGCACAGUGAAAAACAUCACCAGGUCAGACUGACAGAUGUCUUGGUGAAGAGAGGUAGUAUGCCAAUGAAAUAGGCUCUCUUUGGUAGAGGCUGCACACAGAUCUGCUCCUUGCAGCCCAGCAAACCUGGAAGAUGUACGCUUGGAGGUGAGGUGCACAGUGGUGUCUGCUCUUCUGCCGCACAAGAUGGGAAGUUCACUCUCUUAGUGGCAGUUGAGCAGUAUUAGUGGUCCUCACAUUACUCCUGGUCAAAACCUCCGGUUUAAAAUGUCCUUUUUGAGAAUUUUUAGUCAAAAGGGAGUUUUCCUUAAGAACUGAUGCCUUCUACCUCCUGUGGUGUUUCCAGUGGGUGGUUAAAAAUGGAAAAGGGACUGGAUAGCUGGAGGGUCCAGUCUCCUCAAGUCUUUGGUUUUUGCUCCCUCUUGGGAUGGGUCAAGAGUCUCCCCCUGUAAUGGAGGUAAUCAGUUGAUUCUCUGGUGCCAGUGUGGUAUUAGUCGAGCUCUUUAAAGAGUUGCCACCUGCAGAGCAACACUACAGUUGCUAAAAAAUUGCCCUUUGGGAUCCAAGACCUGGAAUUGACUUCUUUUUCCUACACAGAAGAAAGCUUCUAGCAGGUUGUGGAGAUGGCACACACAUUGUGUCUAAGGUGCAGUGCUGCCACUUGGAGGACAGUCACCUCCAUGCAGAACCCAGAUAAUCUUCAGUCAUUCCAAACAUACAGAAUGGUUUUAUUUUCCUCUGUCACUUCUUGUCACAGGUCUGUUCUGGAGUCAGUAUGGCCAAAGGAUUGUUCGGGUAAACUAUUUCAUAUAUAGACUUUGAUGCUUCUAUUAAGAUAAUGGGUGAAGGCUGCCAUCAAGAUCAAGGGCUGCAUUGUUCUGCAUGCUGUACAGUAUGUAUACUAAAUUCUGUAUCUGCACGCUAGGAUACACCCACUGUCUCGAAAAUCUUACAGUCUAAGUAGACACUUGAAUGGGGAAGGAGACAGAGGCAUGUGAAAGAGGAAUAAUUUAUCCAUGAUCAAAGACUAAGCUGGAAUUACAAGAGCCGGUGUCCUGGGUGGGAUCUGUUAUCUCCUUUGAGCAUAACCACCUACCAAUCACCGACACAGUCUGUAAAUGCUCAUAAUAAAAAGCAUCCCAGAAACAAGCCACGCGUAAUUUCUGAGGACAUUCUGUUCUUUCUCUGGUUACAAUCCAUGGGCGGGUAAGGGCUGUUCCAGCAGCUGCAUGCAAGGCUUCAGACGUAGCAACAGCAAGUGGACCGUGGCUGUAAGAAUGACUCCUGUCAUAUGCAAUCAUCUACCAGCACACCCUGUGGUGCUAAUGAAAAAAUCCUUUCACAAAGUGCACUGUGUGCAUUAUUAGAUGAAGUAAGAGCUGAGCCAGCGUCGCCAUCCCUCAGUCGGACGGGGAACUGCAGGGGCAAUGGGUCGGAGGUUGGUGCCUGCAGUACCACAGUGCAUUACAGAUUCCUCUUUGGUCACCUUGAUGGCCUGAGGUCUGACUCAUGUUGCCAUACUUCUGACAAAUGUGAAGAGGAAGAGUUGGACUCUGUCUCCAAACAGGUACUGUGAUGUAAUCAGACAACACAAAGUCUGGGAGUUAGCACAUCUUUCACAGUGGCAACAGCUCAGAUGUACCACGUGAGAUAACAUUUUGCUGCUUGGAUCUGGGCAAGUCACUAUCUCUGCCUUGCCUCAGUUACCAGUCUCUAGUCAACAGCUGACACAUCGUAAGUGUACUGAGAGUUUGCAGUAGACCAUGUCCUGGGAUGCUGCAGUGAUGGAGGUGAGAUAAGGAAGACUUUGUAAAACAUUCAUACAAAGCAAACUUGACUGCUGUCAGCUAUGGCAAAUGAAUGUAACUGGCCAGAACCAAGUUUGUCACCAUGCAUUGACUCCCCUCAGCAGCACCUGACCAGCAUGAAGCCAUCUUUCCUACCUGUGAAUCAGUGGUGGCACUCAGAAAAGGUUUAUUAUUUCUAGCCACAAUUCUCUUUCCUUCACCCUCUGGAUCUGAUUUUUAGGACUCAGGGAAAAUCUUGCUUGGUACACAGGUCAUGCUCUUAGCCUGUAACCAAAAUAUCUGGUCCAUUUAGACUGGAAAAGAAACAUCUCCUUCAGAGAGUGUUGCGCUUCAAUAAAGAACCUCUUUGUGGUGGACCUCAUCAGUGAUGAAACCUUGUCCUGACUGGCAGAAUGAAAGCCAAGGGGCUUGUCCCCAGCAG